rnacentral:rRNA from 1 species
GGAUUAGAUACCAUGGUAGUCCACGCCGUAAACGUUGGGCGCUAGCUGUGGGCUCCAUUCCACGGAGUCCGUGACGAAGUUAACACAUUAAGCGCCCCGCCUGGGGAGUACGGCCGCAAGGCUAAAACUCAAAGGAAUUGACGGGGGCCCGCACAAGCGGCGGAGCAUGCGGAUUAAUUCGAUGCAACGCGAAGAACCUUACCAAGUCUUGACAUAUAGAGGAAAAGUGCAGAAAUGUACUCCCCGCAAGGUCUCUAUACAGGUGGUGCAUGGUUGUCGUCAGCUCGUGUCGUGAGAUGUUGGGUUAAGUCCCGCAACGAGCGCAACCCUCGUCCUAUGUUGCCAGCACGUUAUGGUGGGAACUCAUGGGAGACUGCCGGUGUCAAACCGGAGGAAGGUGGGGAUGACGUCAAAUCAUCAUGCCCCUUAUGACUUGGGCUUCACGCAUGCUACAAUGGCCGGUACAAAGGGCUGCAAUACCGUAAGGUGGAGCGAAUCCCAAAAAGCCGGUCUCAGUUCGGAUUGAGGUCUGCAACUCGACCUCAUGAAGUUGGAGUCGCUAGUAAUCGCAGAUCAGCAACGCUGCGGUGAUACGUUCCCGGGCCUUGUACACACCGCCCGUCAAGUCACGAAAGUCGGUAACACCCGAAGCCGGUGGCCUAACCGUAAGGAAGGGAGCCGUCGAAG